GUAUCCUGUCUGAAUAUGGGGGGACCAUCCUCCAAGGCUAAAUACUCCUGACUGACCGAUAGUGAACCAGUACCGUGAGGGAAAGGCGAAAAGAACCCCGGCGAGGGGAGUGAAAAAGAACCUGAAACCGUGUACGUACAAGCAGUGGGAGCCUCUUAAUGGGGUGACUGCGUACCUUUUGUAUAAUGGGUCAGCGACUUAUAUUCUGUAGCAAGGUUAACCGAAUAGGGGAGCCGAAGGGAAACCGAGUCUUAACUGGGCGUUAAGUUGCAGGGUAUAGACCCGAAACCCGGUGAUCUAGCCAUGGGCAGGUUGAAGGUUGGGUAACACUAACUGGAGGACCGAACCGACUAAUGUUGAAAAAUUAGCGGAUGACUUGUGGCUGGGGGUGAAAGGCCAAUCAAACCGGGAGAUAGCUGGUUCUCCCCGAAAGCUAUUUAGGUAGCGCCUCGUGAAUUCAUCUCCGGGGGUAGAGCACUGUUUCGGCAAGGGGGUCAUCCCGACUUACCAACCCGAUGCAAACUGCGAAUACCGGAGAAUGUUAUCACGGGAGACACACGGCGGGUGCUAACGUCCGUCGUGAAGAGGGAAACAACCCAGACCGCCAGCUAAGGUCCCAAAGUCAUGGUUAAGUGGGAAACGAUGUGGGAAGGCCCAGACAGCCAGGAUGUUGGCUUAGAAGCAGCCAUCAUUUAAAGAAAGCGUAAUAGCUCACUGGUCGAGUCGGCCUGCGCGGAAGAUGUAACGGGGCUAAACCAUGCACCGAAGCUGCGGCAGCGACACUAUGUGUUGUUGGGUAGGGGAGCGUUCUGUAAGCCUGUGAAGGUGGCCUGUGAGGGUUGCUGGAGGUAUCAGAAGUGCGAAUGCUGACAUAAGUAACGAUAAAGCGGGUGAAAAGCCCGCUCGCCGGAAGACCAAGGGUUCCUGUCCAACGUUAAUCGGGGCAGGGUGAGUCGACCCCUAAGGCGAGGCCGAAAGGCGUAGUCGAUGGGAAACAGGUUAAUAUUCCUGUACUUGGUGUUACUGCGAAGGGGGGACGGAGAAGGCUAUGUUGGCCGGGCGACGGUUGUCCCGGUUUAAGCGUGUAGGCUGGUUUUCCAGGCAAAUCCGGAAAACCAAGGCUGAGGCGUGAUGACGAGGCACUACGGUGCUGAAGUGACAAAUGCCCUGCUUCCAGGAAAAGCCUCUAAGCAUCAGGUAACAUCAAAUCGUACCCCAAACCGACACAGGUGGUCAGGUAGAGAAUACCAAGGCGCUUGAGAGAACUCGGGUGAAGGAACUAGGCAAAAUGGUGCCGUAACUUCGGGAGAAGGCACGCUGAUAUGUAGGUGAAGCGACUUGCUCGUGGAGCUGAAAUCAGUCGAAGAUACCAGCUGGCUGCAACUGUUUAUUAAAAACACAGCACUGUGCAAACACGAAAGUGGACGUAUACGGUGUGACGCCUGCCCGGUGCCGGAAGGUUAAUUGAUGGGGUUAGCGGUAACGCGAAGCUCUUGAUCGAAGCCCCGGUAAACGGCGGCCGUAACUAUAACGGUCCUAAGGUAGCGAAAUUCCUUGUCGGGUAAGUUCCGACCUGCACGAAUGGCGUAAUGAUGGCCAGGCUGUCUCCACCCGAGACUCAGUGAAAUUGAACUCGCUGUGAAGAUGCAGUGUACCCGCGGCAAGACGGAAAGACCCCGUGAACCUUUACUAUAGCUUGACACUGAACAUUGAGCCUUGAUGUGUAGGAUAGGUGGGAGGCUUUGAAGUGUGGACGCCAGUCUGCAUGGAGCCGACCUUGAAAUACCACCCUUUAAUGUUUGAUGUUCUAACGUUGGCCCGUAAUCCGGGUUGCGGACAGUGUCUGGUGGGUAGUUUGACUGGGGCGGUCUCCUCCUAAAGAGUAACGGAGGAGCACGAAGGUUGGCUAAUCCUGGUCGGACAUCAGGAGGUUAGUGCAAUGGCAUAAGCCAGCUUGACUGCGAGCGUGACGGCGCGAGCAGGUGCGAAAGCAGGUCAUAGUGAUCCGGUGGUUCUGAAUGGAAGGGCCAUCGCUCAACGGAUAAAAGGUACUCCGGGGAUAACAGGCUGAUACCGCCCAAGAGUUCAUAUCGACGGCGGUGUUUGGCACCUCGAUGUCGGCUCAUCACAUCCUGGGGCUGAAGUAGGUCCCAAGGGUAUGGCUGUUCGCCAUUUAAAGUGGUACGCGAGCUGGGUUUAGAACGUCGUGAGACAGUUCGGUCCCUAUCUGCCGUGGGCGCUGGAGAACUGAGGGGGGCUGCUCCUAGUACGAGAGGACCGGAGUGGACGCAUCACUGGUGUUCGGGUUGUCAUGCCAAUGGCACUGCCCGGUAGCUAAAUGCGGAAGAGAUAAGUGCUGAAAGCAUCUAAGCACGAAACUUGCCCCGAGAUGAGUUCUCCCUGACUCCUUGAGGGUCCUGAAGGAACGUUGAAGACGACGACGUUGAUAGGCCGGGUGUGUAAGCGCAGCGAUGCGUUGAGCUAACCGGUACUAAUGAACCGUGAGGCUUAACCUU
rnacentral:rRNA from 1 species